AGUAACGGCGAGUGAAGCGGCAACAGCUCAAAUUUGAAAUCUGGCUCUCUUUGGGGGUCCGAGUUGUAAUUUGCAGAGGAUGCUUUGGCAUUGGCGGCGGUCUAAGUUCCUUGGAACAGGACAUCACAGAGGGUGAGAAUCCCGUACGUGGUCGCCUGCCUUUGCCGUGUAAAGCUCCUUUGACGAGUCGAGUUGUUUGGGA
rnacentral:rRNA from 1 species